rnacentral:rRNA from 1 species
UACGUAGGGUGCAAGCGUUGUCCGGAAUUAUUGGGCGUAAAGAGCUCGUAGGCGGUUUGUUGCGUCGGCUGUGAAAUCCCGAGGCUCAACCUCGGGUCUGCAGUCGAUACGAGCAAACUAGAGUGUUGCAGGGGAGACUGGAAUUCCUGGUGUAGCGGUGAAAUGCGCAGAUAUCAGGAGGAACACCGGUGGCGAAGGCGGGUCUCUGGGGCCG